GAUAUUUUUAUACUCGCGUUCAAAAGAUUCCGCAAACUGUAUCUGGAGAUCAGGUUGACACAUCUUGCUUACAUCCGAUUUGGGUCUUCCAAUCUGCUUGGUAUGGUGGAUUUUUUGGGGGAGGAGAAUAAUCUUACAACAUACCAAGGAGUGAUCUGUGUCGCAGUCUGCACUGUGGUAGAACCUGGUAAGUUUGACAAAUUUUAAGCACUUUUGUCUUACCAUGAUUAGGUCUAGUUGGUGCCAGUGUUUGGCGCGAGGGUGCCGCGAAGAUACUCUGUGCUGCGGUUUAGUCUUGAAAUAGGUAUUAGUGACGCAGAGGGAGUGUAGUGAGCAAACCUCGAGGAGCCUUUGUUCGUUUUCACUUACUUUUCCGAUACCAAAACGCCCAAUACAGCUGUCCCAUGCAAAGUUGUCAGAU